GAUGAACGCUGGCGGCGUGCCUAAUACAUGCAAGUCGAGCGAACAGACGAGGAUCUUGUUCCUCUGACGAUAGCGGCGGACGGGUGUGUCACGCGUGGAUACCCUCCCUAUAUGUCGGGGAUAACCUCGGGACACCGGCGCUAAUACCGGAUAAUCUCUUGAACCGCAUGGUGCAAUAGUGAAAGACGGUUUUUCUGUCACUUAUAGAUGGAUCCGCGCUGCAUUAGCUAGUUGGUAAGGUACCGGCUUACCAAGGCAACGAUGCGUAGCCGACCGGAGAGGCUGAUCGGCCACCCUGGAGCUGAGACGCGGUCCAGGCUCCUACGAGAGGCAGCAGUCGGGAAUGUUCGGCAGUGGGCGAGAACCUGGCGGAGCGACGCGACGUGAGUGAUGAAGGCCUUCGGAGCGUGAAACUCUGUUAUUAGGGAUGAACCACUGUGUACGUAACUAUACACUUAUUGACGGUAACUAGUAAGAAAGCAACGGCUAACUACGUG
rnacentral:rRNA from 1 species